rnacentral:rRNA from 1 species
CAGCAGCCACGGGAAUACGUAGGGUGCAAGCGUUAAUCGGAAUUACUGGGCGUAAAGCGUGCGCAGGCGGUUUGUUAAGACAGAUGUGAAAUCCCCGGGCUCAACCUGGGAACUGCAUUUGUGACUGGCAAGCUAGAGUGUGGCAGAGGGGGGUGGAAUUCCGCGUGUAGCAGUGAAAUGCGUAGAUAUGCGGAGGAACACCGAUGGCGAAGGCAGCCCCCUGGGCCAACACUGACGCUCAUGCACGAAAGCGUGGGGAGCAAACAGGAUUAGAUACCCCCGUAGUCCCUGUCUCUUAUAC